rnacentral:lncRNA from 1 species
UAUGUCCCCGAUUCGGAUGAUGAUGCACUGGCUUUGGCAGAUGAAUUAGAUAAUUCAGUGAUAAAGACAGCAGAUGUAGUUUUAGAAGAAAUCGCAGACUGUGGUGAUACUUAUAUCAAUAACAAGAAUGAAAAUGGUAGAAAUAUACUUACGCGAAAGAGAAAGAUUGAAAGUCAUAAAUGGGUGCAGAAGAAAAGGAAGUAUCAUCGCAAUAAAGGGAACCCGUAUGUCACUAAGAGUUGCAAAAGAGUUGAAGAGCGUGUUCCGAAACCCAUUGACUGUAAGUGCCGCCAUAAUUGCACAGAAAACUUCUCAGAAGAAGAGCGCACAGAGAUCAAUGCAGAAUAUUGGAAUUUAGUGGACUAUUCGAGGCCGCGACUGUUCCUGGCCAUUUGCGUGAAAAUUGAGAAGUGCAAAAGGACAUUGACACUUGGAUCACGGCGGGCGAACACAUUUAAUUAUACUCUCAAAGCCAAACAGCUAUGCAAGAAGUUUUUUUUAAAUACCUGCGUUAGCCAAGAAGAUGUGCCAAAAUGAAUUUACUGAUAAGAGGGGUCAACAUGGCCACCAGAGAAAAUUAGACGAAGAGACAGUUGCGCUUAUCAAACAGCACAUCGAGUCAUUUCCAGCCGUCGAAAGCCAUUACACUCGAGCAAAAAGUCAACGACUUUAUCUUGCCUCCGACUUAANNAUAUCAAAAAUGUACGAUUUAUUCAAAGAACUCCACCCGGACGCUAUCAUUAAAGAAAACGUUUAUCGCCGGAUAUUUUGCAUGAAUUAUAAUUAUUCUUUCCACUGUCCGAAAAAGGACGCCUGCUUAACAUGCGAGAGGUACAAAACGCUGAGGACAAAGGCUCAUUUCAGAAAUCCUAUGAUGAACACAUCUUAAAUAAGACAAAGGCAGGAACUAACAAGCAAACUGACAAGGAAUCAGCUAAAAGUAACAAUAAUUUAAAAGUGUUUACUUUUUGCCCUCCAGUCAGUGUUAACGACUCUUUGUAGCAACGUAAGCACGAUGUAUUACAGUCGAAAGUUCGCCAGGUAUAAUAACACAUUUUACGACAUUGCCAGUGGAGAAGGUUNCUGUUUUCUAUGGGAUGAAAAUCAGGGUCAACGAGGAUCGGACGAAAUUGGGACCACAAUAUGGAAAAUGAUGAACUCGUUAGACGAAUCGGUAACCGAUGUUAUUCUCUACUCGGACUGCUGCGGGGGACAAAACAGAAACAGGUUCAUUGCUACACUAUUGACUUAUAUCAACAAUACCUUGAAGCUUAAUUCGAUAACAAUUAAGUACCUCCAAAGUGGACACACACAAAUGGAGGCAGAUUCGAUGCACUCUGCAAUAGAACGUGCGAAGAGAAGUAUAUGCGUUUAUUCGCCGGAAGAAUGGCCACCUAUAAUGAGACUGGCAAGACGGAAAAACCCAUAUGCUGUAGAGAGGCUUCAAUACAGUGAUAUUAUUGAUCUCAAAGACAUGUUUUCGAGUUUAGGCCAUAGCCUUAAGAAAAAUAUAAAAAAUGACUCGGUAAAUUGGCUUAAUGUUAAAUUACUCCAAGUGAACAAAAUUCAACGAAAACAGUUAUUAUACAAGGAGGAAUGGGAUGGAGACUUGAAAGUAAUCGAUAUUGGAGGAACGCG